rnacentral:rRNA from 1 species
UACGAAGGGGGCUAGCGUUGCUCGGAAUCACUGGGCGUAAAGCGCACGUAGGCGGCUUUCUAAGUCAGGGGUGAAAUCCUGGAGCUCAACUCCAGAACUGCCUUUGAUACUGGAGAGCUUGAGUCCGGAAGAGGUGAGUGGAACUCCGAGUGUAGAGGUGAAAUUCGUAGAUAUUCGGAAGAACACCAGUGGCGAAGGCGGCUCACUGGCCGGUACUGACGCUGAGGCGCGAAAGCGUGGGGAGCAAACAGG